rnacentral:rRNA from 1 species
GUGCCUAACACAUGCAAGUCGAGCGAUUUACUUCGGUAAAGAGCGGCGGACGGGUGAGUAACGCGUGGGUAACCUGCCCUGUACACACGGAUAACAUACCGAAAGGUAUGCUAAUACGAGAUAAUAUACUUUUAUCGCAUGGUAGAAGUAUCAAAGCUCUGGCGGUACAGGAUGGACCCGCGUCUGAUUAGCUAGUUGGUAAGGUAACGGCUUACCAAGGCGACGAUCAGUAGCCGACCUGAGAGGGUGAUCGGCCACAUUGGAACUGAGACACGGUCCAAACUCCUACGGGAGGCAGCAGUGGGGAAUAUUGCACAGUGGGCGAAAGCCUGAUGCAGCAACGCCGCGUGAGCGAUGAAGGCCUUCGGGUCGUAAAGCUCUGUCCUCAAGGAAGAUAAUGACGGUACUUGAGGAGGAAGCCCCGGCUAACUACGUGCCAGCAGCCGCGGUAAUACGUAGGGGGCUAGCGUUAUCCGGAAUUACUGGGCGUAAAGGGUGCGUAGGUGGUUUCUUAAGUCAGAGGUGAAAGGCUACGGCUCAACCGUAGUAAGCCUUUGAAACUGGGAAACUUGAGUGCAGGAGAGGAGAGUGGAAUUCCUAGUGUAGCGGUGAAAUGCGUAGAUAUUAGGAGGAACACCAGUUGCGAAGGCGGCUCUCUGGACUGUAACUGACACUGAGGCACGAAAGCGUGGGGAGCAAACA